rnacentral:rRNA from 1 species
CUCGUAAAGCUCUGUUGUUAAAGAAGAACACGUAUGAGAGUAACUGUUCAUACGUUGACGGUAUUUAACCAGAAAGUCACGGCUAACUACGUGCCAGCAGCCGCGGUAAUACGUAGGUGGGCAAGCGUUAUCCGGAUUUAUUGGGCGUAAAGAGAGUGCAGGCGGGUUUUCUAAGUCUGAUGUGAAAGCCUUCGGCUUAACCGGAGAAGUGCAUCGGAAACUGGAUAACUUGAGUGCAGAAGAGGGUAGUGGAACUCCAUGUGUAGCGGUGGAAUGCGUAGAUAUAUGGAAGAACACCAGUGGCGAAGGCGGCUACCUGGUCUGCAACUGACGCUGAGACUCGAAAAGCAUGGGUAGCGAACAGGAUUAGAUACCCUGGUAG